GAUGAACGCUGGCGGCGUGCCUAAUACAUGCAAGUCGAGCGAACAGACGAGGAGCUUGCUCCUUUGACGUUAGCGGCGGACGGGUGAGUAACACGUGGGUAACCUACCUAUAAGACUGGGAUAACUUCGGGAAACCGGAGCUAAUACCGGAUAAUAUUUCGAACCGCAUGGUUCGAUAGUGAAAGAUGGCUUUGCUAUCACUUAUAGAUGGACCUGCGCCGUAUUAGCUAGUUGGUAAGGUAAUGGCUUACCAAGGCAACGAUACGUAGCCGACCUGAGAGGGUGAUCGGCCACACUGGAACUGAGACACGGUCCAGACUCCUACGGGAGGCAGCAGUAGGGAAUCUUCCGCAAUGGGCGAAAGCCUGACGGAGCAACGCCGCGUGAGUGAUGAAGGUCUUCGGAUCGUAAAACUCUGUUAUUAGGGAAGAACAAACGUGUAAGUAACUGUGCACGUCUUGACGGUACCUAAUCAGAAAGCCACGGCUAACUACGUGCCAGCAGCCGCGGUAAUACGUAGGUGGCAAGCGUUAUCCGGAAUUAUUGGGCGUAAAGCGCGCGUAGGCGGUUUUUUAAGUCUGAUGUGAAAGCCCACGGCUCAACCGUGGAGGGUCAUUGGAAACUGGAAAACUUGAGUGCAGAAGAGGAAAGUGGAAUUCCAUGUGUAGCGGUGAAAUGCGCAGAGAUAUGGAGGAACACCAGUGGCGAAGGCGACUUUCUGGUCUGUAACUGACGCUGAUGUGCGAAAGCGUGGGGAUCAAACAGGAUUAGAUACCCUGGUAGUCCACGCCGUAAACGAUGAGUGCUAAGUGUUAGGGGGUUUCCGCCCCUUAGUGCUGCAGCUAACGCAUUAAGCACUCCGCCUGGGGAGUACGACCGCAAGGUUGGAACUCAAAGGAAUUGACGGGGACCCGCACAAGCGGUGGAGCAUGUGGUUUAAUUCGAAGCAACGCGAAGAACCUUACCAAAUCUUGACAUCCUUUGACCCUUCUAGAGAUAGAAGUUUCCCCUUCGGGGGACAAAGUGACAGGUGGUGCAUGGUUGUCGUCAGCUCGUGUCGUGAGAUGUUGGGUUAAGUCCCGCAACGAGCGCAACCCUUAAGCUUAGUUGCCAUCAUUAAGUUGGGCACUCUAAGUUGACUGCCGGUGACAAACCGGAGGAAGGUGGGGAUGACGUCAAAUCAUCAUGCCCCUUAUGAUUUGGGCUACACACGUGCUACAAUGGACAAUACAAAGGGCAGCGAAACCGCGAGGUCAAGCAAAUCCCAUAAAGUUGUUCUCAGUUCGGAUUGUAGUCUGCAACUCGACUACAUGAAGCUGGAAUCGCUAGUAAUCGUAGAUCAGCAUGCUACGGUGAAUACGUUCCCGGGUCU
rnacentral:rRNA from 1 species